GAUGAAGAACGUAGCGAAAUGCGAUAAGUAAUGUGAAUUGCAGAAUUCAGUGAAUCAUCGAAUCUUUGAACGCACAUUGCGCCCCUUGGUAUUCCGGGGGGCAUGCCUGUUCGAGCGUCAUUUCAACCCUCAAGCUCUGCUUGGUAUUGGGCACCGUCCUUUGCGGGCGCGCCUCAAAGACCUCGGCGGUGGCGUCUUGCCUCAAGCGUAGUAGAAUACACCUCGCUUCGGAGCGUAAGGCGUCGCCCGCCGGACGAACCUUCUGAGCUUUUCUCAAGGUUGACCUCGGAUCAGGUAGGGAUACCCGCUGAACUUAAGCAUAUCAAUAAGCGGAGGA
rnacentral:misc_RNA from 1 species